rnacentral:lncRNA from 1 species
GGGGCGACACGGGCGGCACUGCUCCUGUCACUGGCCGGCACCUACUCCUACCCCUCCCUUCCCCUGCCGCUGCCCAAGCUUGCUGACGACCUGCAUGGUGGCGAUGAAGGCGGUGGCAGGGCCCUCCACUUUUUUUUUACGUCCACGAGAAGGCUGUUAGUGGCCAUCAUCCACGAGACCACGAUGGUCCAUGGAUCCACACAAAAGGAUGGCCGGCCAUUCUGGAUAUGCGAAGUGCGUCAACGGCAAUGCUGCUCCUCUUCGCCCGCCGAAUGCUUGAGCUCCACGGCUGCGGCGGUGGAUUUGUGGCCAAUUCCUCUGGAGGCAUGCACCAUGGCAGUGGUAGGUGUCCUGGCAUCCGUGUGCGAGCGGCCUUGGUGCCCUCGAUGAUGUGAUGACAUCAUCCGCUCAACCCUUGCUACCCAUGCCGGAGAGGUCGUUAACCCAAUGAUGACUUGGAGUGGUUUCGUCGGUGGAUUAUUGCCGAUGCCGUCCACAUCAGUACUACGGAGCCACUUCGAUGCAUCCAUGGGCGCGUCAAAGCUGGAUCUGGACUUGCACAUCUCCCGACUGUAUUAAGGUCAUCCUGGUGGAUGCAUAAUCGCCGAUGCCCCUGCAUGUGACACCAGACCAUCCUACGUAUGGCAUUUUUUCAUCAGAUGCAUACCUGUCUGUCUCUAUGCGGCGCUCACCACAUAUUGAGUGCCACUUUGCGUUUGUAUGGGAACCAUGGGGCACUGGAGUGAGCCAACAACAAGUGCAUCGUUGAAGGCUGGAUAUAGCUAGGAAGUGCUCGCAUCUCCGGUAU